CUCCGGUAUUGGGCAAGAGCUCGAUUAGUCCCGGCUGAGGCCGAUUCGGGAGAGUCAAAUUCAAAGUUGGAAAACAAACAGCCUGAACAACCAAUAGCAAAAGGACAGAAGAUGACCUGAAGGGCUCCAGGACCAGGCAUGGAAAAAAAUACCAGAUUCCUAUAAUAAAAAAUAAGUGUUAGCAAACCAAAGCAUCAGUAUAAUUCCCCAUUUGUCAGCAGCAUCUCAGGAAGUAACCAAACAUAUUUCCGCAUUAUUUAAAACGGAUUUUGGCAUACGGCUCACACUCACUCUGCAAGUCCACGCUGCGUAACGUGAGUAUGUGUGUUAGCCCGUGCUGCUAAAGGAAUGUAAGUAAACAUCAUUUUUAUCUUGAUUUUGUUACUUACCAUGGUAGUUUACAUUAUAUCUUAUUCCUUUAGAUUACCUACCCCUUAAUAAUACUUUUAACUGGACAGACUCUGCAGGUUUAAGGUAUAUAAUAAAUGUCCCUUAACGUCGACAUACGGAAAAUAACAGAAAAAAUCCACGAACUCGAAAAAAAUUAAUCAAAACAGAUAAAAAAAAAUGUCACCGUUUUGAAUUAUGAAAAUUUGAUUUUUAAAAAAGGCUGAAGAGUGGAGAUGUAGCUGAAGCGAAACUUUGUUUUUAUUUAAACACGAAGGAAGAAAAAUACCCGCCAAAGUUUUUGAGCUAUUAUCACCAGAACAAAAAGAAGCAAUUGAAAGAAGUCUUUAUGAUCCCUGGAAAACGGGGUUUACUA